rnacentral:misc_RNA from 1 species
CAAUGAGUGUUUAAUGGCACUUUAAAUCCAUUACCCACCUUGUGUGCACUGUAGGGAAGGGGCAGUUCGCAUGCGCUACAUGUGCUGCACUGCCCCUUUCAUCAUAUACAUACCUAUCUUCUUACUUGUCUACUUCAACUGAGUAUAAAAACUCGAAUA